CACCAUAUAUGAAGCAAAAUUAUUUAAAGUUAGUAAAAAAAGAUAAUAGACUUAAAAUGAAUGAAAAAGACAUUGCACCAGGAACAAUAGAGCUCUUUUUUUUUUUUUUUCCAAAUCCACUAAUAGCGAGAAGAAAAGAAGAAAAAUAUGUUACAAGCUUUAACCGAACUCCAGUUUCAGCUGAAAGUACAAUUAGGAGAAAAAGAGAGGAGACUUCAACUCAGCCAGGAAUCCAGGGCCCAGAAGAUGCAGUUCCACAUGCACUUUUCAGACAGACCCACAUUUCAUAGACUUUUUCAAGUAAGACCUGCAAUUUCUUCAAGUCAAUUACCAUCUUUUUCAAAGGUAUCUACCAAUUUAUAUAUAGAAUCAUAAUGUCUAAGCAAAUGUAGUAGGUA
rnacentral:lncRNA from 1 species